AUUGAACGCUGGCGGCAGGCCUAACACAUGCAAGUCGAGCGGAUGAAGGGAGCUUGCUCCUGGAUUCAGCGGCGGACGGGUGAGUAAUGCCUAGGAAUCUGCCUGGUAGUGGGGGAUAACGUCCGGACACGGGCGCUAAUACCGCAUACGUCCUGAGGGAGAAAGUGGGGGAUCUUCGGACCUCACGCUAUCAGAUGAGCCUAGGUCGGAUUAGCUAGUUGGUGGGGUAAAGGCCUACCAAGGCGACGAUCCGUAACUGGUCUGAGAGGAUGAUCAGUCACACUGGAACUGAGACACGGUCCAAACUCCUACGGGAGGCAGCAGUGGGGAAUAUUGGACAAUGGGCGAAAGCCUGAUCCAGCCAUGCCGCGUGUGUGAAGAAGGUCUUCGGAUUGUAAAGCACUUUAAGUUGGGAGGAAGGGCAGUAAGUUAAUACCUUGCUGUUUUGACGUUACCAACAGAAUAAGCACCGGCUAACUUCGUG
rnacentral:rRNA from 1 species